rnacentral:rRNA from 1 species
AUGUCGCAAUCGUUAUCCGGAUUUAUUUGGCGUAAAGCGCGUCUAGUUGUUUUGGUAAGUCUGAUUUUGAAAUGCGGGGCUCAACUCCGUAUUGCGUUGGAAACUGCCAAACUAGAGUACUGGAGAGGUGGGCGGAACUACAAGUGUAGAGGUGAAAUUCGUAGAUAUUUGUAGGAAUGCCGAUAGAGAAGUCAGCUCACUGGACAGAUACUGACACUGAAGCGCGAAAGCAUGGGGAGCAAA